ensembl:lncRNA
UUUGCGUGUGCGUCUGAAGAUGUCGUGUGCAAAGUUUGGUGUCGAUUGGUCAAGAAAUGUGGGAGGAGUAGGGAAAAAAACUGUUUUGCGGUUUUCGCGAUUUUGCGAAAAAAAAUUCUAGACGCAAAUGGGCGUGGCCUAUGCCAAAAGAUGCAGCAGACUCCAGUGAAUAUGUGCGUACAAGUUUUUGACUGUGGGAGGUUCGGUGUGGGAGUUAUAGCCCCAAACGCAUUUUCCCUUGGUAUAGCGCCACCUAGUGGCCGGCGUGUCUGGAUUUUGUUAUCUGAGUAGCGGUGGCGAUUCUGGAUCUAGUCAUGCAAUUGGCGUGUCGGCACCAUUUACGGUUUGGGCUGUGGUUCC